rnacentral:rRNA from 1 species
UACGGAGGGGGCUAGCGUUGUUCGGAAUUACUGGGCGUAAAGCGCACGUAGGCGGAUUGUUAAGUCGGGGGUGAAAUCCCGGGGCUCAACCCCGGAAUGGCCUCCGAUACUGGCAAUCUUGAGGUCGGGAGAGGUGAGUGGAAUGGCGAGUGUAGAGGUGAAAUUCGUAGAUAUUCGCCGGAACACCAGUGGCGAAGGCGGCUCACUGGACAAGUAUUGACGCUGAGGUGCGAAAGCGUGGGGAGCAAACAGG